rnacentral:rRNA from 1 species
UGGGGAAUAUUGGACAAUGGGCGAAAGCCUGAUCCAGCCAUGCCGCGUGUGUGAAGAAGGUCUUCAGAUUGUAAAGCACUUUAAGUUGGGAGGAAGGGCAUUAACCUAAUACGUUAGUGUUUUGACGUUACCGACAGAAUAAGCACCGGCUAACUCUGUGCCAGCAGCCGCGGUAAUACAGAGGGUGCAAGCGUUAAUCGGAAUUACUGGGCGUAAAGCGCGCGUAGGUGGUUUGUUAAGUUGGAUGUGAAAUCCCCGGGCUCAACCUGGGAACUGCAUUCAAAACUGACUGACUAGAGUAUGGUAGAGGGUGGUGGAAUUUCCUGUGUAGCGGUGAAAUGCGUAGAUAUAGGAAGGAACACCAGUGGCGAAGGCGACCACCUGGACUAAUACUGACACUGAGGUGCGAAAGCGUGGGGAGCAAACA